rnacentral:rRNA from 1 species
CACGUAGGGGGCAAGCGUUGUCCGGAUUUAUUGGGCGUAAAGAGCUCGUAGGCGGUUCGGUAAGUCGGGUGUGAAACCUCCAGGCUCAACCUGGAGACGCCACCCGAUACUGCUGUGACUCGAGUCCGGUAGGGGAGCGUGGAAUUCCUGGUGUAGCGGUGAAAUGCGCAGAUAAUCAGGAGGAACACCAGCGGCGAAGGCGGCGCUCUGGGCCGGUACUGACGCUGAGGAGCGAAAGCGUGGGGAGCGAACAGG